rnacentral:rRNA from 1 species
GGAGGAAAGCAGGGGAUCGAAAGACCUUGUGCUUUUAGAGCGGCCGAUGCCUGAUUAGCUAGUUGGUAAGGUAAGGCUUACCAAGGCAACGAUCAGUAGCUGAUCUGAGAGGACGACCAGCCACACUGGGACUGAGACACGGCCCAGACUCCUACGGGAGGCAGCAGUGGGGAAUUUUGGACGAUGGGCGAAAGCCUGAUCCAGCCAUGCCGCGUGAGUGAAGAAGGCCUUCGGGUUGUAAAGCUCUUUCGGUCGGGAAGAAAUGGUUGUGGCUAAUAUCCACAACAAAUGACGGUACCGACAUAAGAAGCACCGGCUAACUACGUGCCAGCAGCCGCGGUAAUACGUAGGGUGCAAGCGUUAAUCGGAAUUAUUGGGCGUAAAGGGUGCGCAGGCGGUUAUAUAAGUCAGAUGUGAAAUCCCUGGGCUUAACCUAGGAAUUGCGUUUGAAAUACGGAGCUAGAAGGGC